rnacentral:rRNA from 1 species
CCUACGGGAGGCAGCAGUAAGGAAUAUUGGACAAUGCUCGCAAGAGUGAUCCAGCCAUGCCGCGUGCAGGAAGAAUGCCCUAUGGGUAGUAAACUGCUUUUGAACUAGAGAAAAUCCCAGUACGUGUACUGGGCUGAUAGUAUAGUUAGAAUAAGCAUCGGCUAACUUCGUGCCAGCAGCCGCGGUAAGACGAAGGAUGCAAGCGUUAUCCGGGAUUCAUUGGGUUUAAAGGGAGCGUAGGUGGACUGAUAAGUCAGUGGUGAAAUCUCCGAGCUUAACUCGGAAAUUGCC